rnacentral:sRNA from 1 species
ACUUGUUGCGGGCGAGAAGCGAAUGGGUGCCCGCAACACCAGACACAACACCGUGCCACGGGAACAUCGUGGCAUUUCAGGGCGUU